rnacentral:rRNA from 1 species
UACGUAGGGUGCGAGCGUUGUUCGGAUUCACUGGGCGUAAAGGGUGCGUAGGUGGUCGGGUAAGUCCGAUGUGAAAUCUCCAGGCUCAACCUGGAAAUGGCAUUGGAUACUAUUCGGCUUGAGGAGUGGAGGGGGGGACUGGAAUUCUCGGUGUAGCAGUGAAAUGCGUAGAUAUCGAGAGGAACACCAGUGGCGAAGGCGAGUCCCUGGACACUUCCUGACACUGAGGCACGAAAGCUAGGGGAGCAAACAGG